rnacentral:rRNA from 1 species
AUAUCAAUAAGCGGAGGAAAAGAAACUAACAAGGAUUCCCUUAGUAACGGCGAGUGGACUGGGAAGAGCUCAAAUUUGGAAUCUGGCGUGCUCCGUGCGUCCGAGUUGUAAUCUAUAGAGAUGUUUUCUGUGCCGGACCGUGUCCAAGUCCCUUGGAACAGGGUAUCAAAGAGGGUGACAAUCCCGUACUUGACAUGAUGACCGGUGCUCUGUGAUGCGUCUUCUACGAGUCGAGUUGUUUGGGAAUGCAGCUCAAAAUGGGUGGUAUAUUUCAUCUAAAGCUAAAUAUUGGCCAGAGACCGAUAGCGCACAAGUA